ACCCAAUUUAAUAUAUACACAAAAUAUUAUAAUUAUCUAGUGAUACAAUAAAUAUAAAGAUAUAGUAAAUAUGUAUGACAAAAAUUGGCGAUGUAGCUAUAUAGAAAAAACAAAUAUUAAAAUAAUACAAAGUAAAUAACAAAUAUAAAUCACAUAAGAUUACAAAUUUUUUUUUAAACACUGUCUACAAACAUUUUCCGAAGCGCACAGCAACAAAUCCAGGUCUAUUCUAUUUCCAUUUAGAAUGAUUCUACUCAGCGGAGAAUGCCUACCAAAGUUGCAGCGAUGAAAUUUAAUUGCAAAAUUUUGGGAUGUUCUAGUAACUCUAGAGGGAACAUUAAAGUCAAUUAGAGACAGUAAAUCAUUGCAAUUAAUUUUUGAAUUCAGUAUUUUAUGAAGAAACAAAACAUCAGCAUACAUCCGUCUGGAAGAUAGCCUAGGAAGGUUUAAUUUAUUUCUAAUUUCUGAGUAGGAAUGGUCACUUAAAGCUUGGCUAUAUGGACUUCAUAAGUGGGUGACCAAACAACUGAGCAAUACUCAAGAACAGAUCUAACUAGGGAAAUGUAAAUCAGUCUGAUGGAACUAAUGUUAUGCAAACAUCUAGAAGUUCUAAUAAUGAAGCCUAACAUUUUAAAUGCCUGGUUAUUCACAUAAUCAAAA
rnacentral:lncRNA from 1 species